rnacentral:tRNA from 1 species
GAAGUGGAAGCAAAGUGAAUGCUGCUAACUUAUCACUAUAGCGGUUAAAAUCCGUUUACACUUCU